GACGCAGUUGGAGAGCAGGGUAUGUUGCCCCGGGAGUGGGACUGAGUGCUGCUUGAAGUCUCUGCCCCCACCAAAGGAGCGAGCCAAGCUGGGAACAGCUUGAUUAACUGCCGAUCUGUGGCCAGUGAAUGAAAGUUCAAUUAGAACGGGGCUUGCUAAUGAAAUCCAAAGGCAGGAGCAGGAAGCUGGCAAGAGCAGCCGGUUUCCGGAAGUAUAAAUCAAAGCCGGAAAAGAGUGGGUGUGGGGGCCACCGGUGAGAACAGAGAGGGCUCCCCUACGCUGUAUGGGUAGCCCCCGGAAGAGAGCUCCCUGCAAACCUGGCAAGGACAGACCAUGUUCAAGCAGGAGCACCUGUCCAGAGGCAGCACUACCCACAGUCAGCUGGACUCUCCCACAUCAGCCAUGAAUGAAAAAGAAAUGCUGCAAUUCCUCAAGCGAGGCUCCCUCCUCCUCCUCCUCGGUGGACCUAGCCAGUGUCAAGGUGACAGAAACUAACAGGGAGCAGGGAGAGAGAGUCACAGAGUGCUUUUCAAAGACAGCAUCCUCCAGGCACAGUGGAGACCACAGGCUUUGAAGUCACUGGCUUGUUUCAUCAUCACAGAGUCUGUCUCCUGGAGUGGCCAGAGAGGUGUUUUUGGCUCUGCAUACUGUUGAUGAGCUGCUGCAUUCUGAGGAGGGUGGAGGGCGUUCUCCUAUCCUACCACUCAGGGCUGCUGGGGGAAAUUAAGCUCAGAGGGAAGGUACAUGCCACAUGGAAUUAAGAAGUCCACCACUGAGUGCACAGUGAUGGGAUGGACUGAUGUUCUCACAGCAACAGAACCAUCUCCACUCAGAAUAUCCCCUAACAUUGGGAGACCCACUCUUCUUACAGCAAUUCCCCAAGGCCUCUCAUGGGUGGGAGGGAGCCGAUUCUAGAACUGAAUGGGUAUGCUAGAAGCAGGUAGACUUUUCCUGGACAGAGCAGGGACCGCCGGUCUCUUGGCCUUUACUCAGCUUUCUGGUUCCAAGAUGAUCCAUCAUAGGGUUCAAGAUGGGAAGAGGGGCUGGAGUUGAGGAUCAGGGUCUCUGGGAGCAAACCUCAUGGGAGAGAUAAGAGCCCUUGUUCCUCGGAGAGUCACUCCCACCGGAAGUCCUGCCCAACGGUUUCAUAAAAUUUAAUAUUAUAAGGUCUAUAAAAUUCCCGGAGCUGGUCUAUGACUUCAGGGUCGAUCUGUACAUGAGUUCUCCCUUUUGAUUUGCCCAGGCAUCGUGGCAGGAGUGUCGACUCUGGUUUUUUCAAGCAAGGGAAUCCUUUGGUCUUGUUGAAGUAGAAGUGUUUGUCUGUGAUGAAUCGCUUGAUGCCCAGGAAAUCCUGGAUGCGCCCCAUCUCACCAGCCGGAUCAGUGAUGAGCCGCUCGCCACUGACGAAGUGGAUCUGGGCCAGCGGGAAGUACUGCAGCCAGCUCUCCAGGUGCAGUGCGUACAUGCCGAUGCGGAUGGCAUUCCAAGACACAUCCACUAGGCCGAGGCUGCGAUUUCGGAAGGACAGGCCCUCGAAGGUGGGGAUGUCCGGCUUCUUGGAAAGUGUCUGCGUGUAAUCAGAGAUGGCGCGGGUCACCGGGUUCCGCACCACCACAAUCAGCUUGGUGUCUCGUGACAUGUUGAAGAUCCGUCGGGGGGCUUCUUGAGUGACGAAAUAGCUGGGCGUCUUCUCUAGUGUGAUCUGGGUCUCCGAGGUCCUGGGCAUCAGGCUCCUGGGGACAGAAACAACACAUCAUCAGCGAGCAUGGCUGGUUUGGUGUGCUGUUAGUUCCCUCCACUCAUGCAGGCCUCUCUCCUGCCCCAUUUGAGUUUCUUACUUGGUGAGGAACUCCCUUCAACUCAUGUUGAAUUUUAAAAGCAUAUUUAACAAAGGCUUCUUUAAGGCAGAAACAAACUGAAUAUCUGUCACUAUGGGUUAAACAAAUUGUUUAACCAACCAGUAGUGGAUUUACAUGUAUUACUAUGUAAUGAUCUCUACCAUACAGCAAGCCUCUGUAUCCAUGGGUUCUACAGCCAGAGAUCCGACCAGUUGUCAAUGGAAAAUAUUUGGGGAGGCCAGGCAAGUAUGAUGGCCGGAGUUUGAACCCCUAGAAUCCAUGUGAAGAUGGGUAUCUGUAUGUCUGUGAAUACCAGCACUCCUAUGCAAGAUGGGCGGAGUAGAGACUCUCUGGAGGCUACUGGGCAGCUAGCUUGGUAUACACAGCAGAGAAACAAAAGGCAACCUGCCUCAGAGUGGAAGAUGAGGAAUGGUACCUGAGCCUGUCCUCUGCUACACACAUACACACACACACACACACACUAUACAUGCACACAUUGUACAUGCACAUACACACUGUACACACAGACACACACACUGUUGACCCAUUCACACACACUGUACAUACAAAUAUACACUAGACACUCAUAUACACACACAUACACACUGUACGCACACAAACUAAAAGUAUUUUAGGAAAAGGUAUACGUGCUAAAUAUAUACAAAUGUUUCUUUGUAUACAAUAUUUAUGCUGCAUUAUGUACUAUAAACCAGUCACCUAGAGAUGAUUCCAAGACUACAUGAAGGGGAGUAUGGGCCACACACAAAUACUACACCAUUAUAUAAGAGUCUUCAACAUCUAUAGAGUUUGGAAUUGUGGCAAUUUACACCAAGGAUGACCCUAUCCUUCAUAAUAAAGAAAGGCCAGGUAUGGCCUCUUGUCUCAGGAAGGAGACCCAGGACUCUGGUAAUUGCAGCUAGUGCUGUGGGGGGAACUGUAUGUGGGUGGGGAGAGCCAGGCAAUCGGGGAUAAAUGAGAAUUACAUUUGAUUGUAUAAUCUUUUACGCUGCUUGAAAUUUUUAAUGUGUUUAUUAUGUAUUCAGAAAGAUACAAAGUAAGCCGUUGAGUAUUAUCCUGGCAAAAAAUAUAUUUCUUCAAAUAUA